CUGCUACAGAGAUUAUUUUCACUUCCAGUUCCUUUAAACUGUUUCUCUUGUAACAGGACCCAGGCCCAAGAGGUGUUGAACAUUUCUGAUGAGGAAUCAGGUACCUUCAACAUUAUGUGACUGCAGAGUGCACCCUGAAGCAGCUGAAACAAUAUUUGUAUGGACAGCAUGAAAAGCAUGAACAGCCACCAGCUACUUUUCUUGGUCUGGAACAUCUCACAUAUCAAAAUGCCUCAUGAGACAAGCAGGAAGAAGAGUGAAAAAGCAGUUUGAGCCACUGGAUAUCAGGCAGCAUGGUUGCUGUGCUAAUGAAAAUUUGGAACACCAUUGCAAACUGGAGUGUUUGGCAGAAGCAGGAAUUUCUCUGUGCUGUUUACGAGGUAUAUAA
rnacentral:lncRNA from 1 species